rnacentral:miRNA from 1 species
CUAGCGGUGGCCCUCGCAUCG